UCAUGAAGAGCUAAAACUGAUUUUACCAUAAUUUAGUGAACCUGGUUUUGAACGUGGAAACCAAUGAAGUGGUGAAACCGUAUGACGAUGGCCCCCACAGCAACGCGACAGUCGGCGACGAUGGCCCCCACAGCAACGCGACAGUCGGCGACGAUGGCCCCCACAGCAACGCGACAGUCGGCGACGAUGGCCCCCACAGCAACGCGACAGUCGGCGACGAUGGCCCCCACAGCAACGCGACAGUCGGCGACGAUUAAAUGUGUACUCCCAGUUUUGAAACCCUUUGGAGUUGAGUGGUGUUUCUGUCUGUCCCUGUAAUGGUCUGGAGACCUGAGAGGCUUCAGCCUCACCCUUGACCCUGAUUGGGAACAAGGGGGAUUGUAAUGGAUGGAUUACUCAUAGCAAUUAUAUUCAAAAUUAUAUAUCCUCUAUUUGUUUGUUCAGUAGCUACUGUGUAAAUGGUGCUAAAUGGUAAAUUAGCCAGAACAAUUGAUUUGAGGCUUGUAAAGCUGAGCAGCAAAAUGCAUUUGAGUAAAAAAAGGAAAUGUAAUAAUUUUAUUUAUUUUAAAAUACUUACCUGUUGGCCUCAGAUUGUGAUCCGAGUGAAGAACCUGGUCGUUAAGCAGGUUGAAGCUAUUGCUGUUAGCUAUGUAGCUAGUAUAUAGCUGAUAGCUAACUACUAGCGAACUUGGUAAUACCAGGGUUCGAACCUACUCCGUUAGUAACACGAACAUGCGUGUCUUACGUGUUGUGCUACAGAAGAGGCUGCCACAAUCGACAGGGUAAGGUGGAGAAUUUAUGUGUGACAGUCAUGUCGCAGCUGUUUUUCAGUCACGUGGUUUCGAAGGCGGAGCGAAUCGCUGUCCACUGUCUGGAGCGCAGGGCACGUGAACACGGCUCCACAUAACACCGCCUGAAGCGAUCACUGCAUCACAGGUGAGUUGCUGUAAAUGUAGUUUUAUUGGGAGCAGCACCCACAGAGACUCAAACUGCAGACGGAAAAAGAGGGACUAUGUGAAACACACGGCUGAUGAUGACAGUCAUUCUUUAGCCUUCAAGAUAAGCGACAAUGUUGGACAAUGUUUGAAAGAAAGAGGUCCGAUGGUCGACACAGGCGCCACAUCCCACAUCAUCACCAGUAUUGAGAAGUUCAGAAGCUUUGAUGACACCUUCCUACUGGAAAAGCAUUUCAUGGAGCUGUCUGACGGAAAGUGAACAAGUGGCGUGGCACUGAAGAGAGGAGACGCAGUGGUCUGCCUGCGGGACAUUGAGGGCCGUCAUGUGACGACACUCUACAUCCCUACAUUCCCACAAGACAUCUUCUCUGUCAAAGCUGCGAUCACCAGCGGAGCCAACGUCCACUUCAAGGAGGGAAUCAACCACAAGGACAGUACCAGGUUUGACAUUAAAAAGUAUGAGAGACUGUACUGUCUGAACACUGUAAGUGAGAUGAGUGAUGAGGAUGAGUGUUGUUAUGGGUGUUUUGAUUUUCAAACAUGGCAUGAGAUCCUUGGUCACUGUAAUUAUGAUGUUUUAAAGUUAGAGAAUGUAACCAAAGGAAUGAACAUCAAAGGUAAAACUGAUAAAUCUAAACUGUAUUGUGAAACAUGUGUACGAGGAAAGUUUAUUCAGAGUAGAAACCGGGAGCCUGAUAUAAGAGCUAAAGAAGCAUUGGAGCUUGUACACACAGAUCUUGCUGGCCCUAUAAGUCCAGAGGCCAAAGACGGGUUUAAGUAUGCAUCAGCCUUUACAGAUGACUAUUCAGGCACAAUGUUUGUUUAUUUCCUGACAACUAAAAAUGACACUGUUAAAGCCA